CUAAACGAUAGAGACUGAAAGUUUGUGUGUGAAAAUAGACGAGGGAGAGUGUGUUACUGAGGUGUGGCUGGCACAGCUACCCGGCUGCAGGACGCUACGGCCUUGGCAGUGAGGCUCUCACAGGCUGUGUGUGUGCUAUCACCCUCCACGCACUCUACACUUCCACUCACACCCACAUAUACUCUCACACACGCACUUACAAACCUCACACACACUCAAACACCUCACACAUAUUCCCUUAUAUAACUCAUCCCAACAAGCUGUAACUUAAGAGCAAAGAUGGUUGGCAUGAAAGGAUGAUAUAGUCACGGAGCCGUACACAAAGUUCAGCCAUGGUCGUGCAGCAGCUGAUGGUCCUCACAGAGCUAGAACCUAAUGUAUAC